rnacentral:rRNA from 1 species
GUCGACGAUUCCUACGGGAGGCAGCAGUGGGGAAUAUUGGUCAAUGGACGCAAGUCUGAACCAGCCAUGCCGCGUGGAGGAUGAAGGUCCUCUGGAUUGUAAACUUCUUUUAUCUGGGAAGAAACCCAUAUUUUCUAGUGUGGUUGACGGUACCAGAUGAAUAAGCACCGGCUAACUCCGUGCCAGCAGCCGCGGUAAUUCUCUAGAGG